UACGUAGGGAGCAAGCGUUGUCCGGAAUCAUUGGGCGUAAAGCGCGCGUAGGUGGCCUCAUAAGUCCGCUGUGAAAGUCAAAGGCUCAACCUUUGAAAGCCGGUGGAUACUGUGAGGCUAGAGUACGGAAGAGGCGAGUGGAAUUCCUGGUGUAGCAGUGAAAUGCGUAGAUAUCAGGAGGAACACCGAUGGCGAAGGCAGGUCUCUGGGCUGACACUGACGCUCAUGCACGAAAGCGUGGGGAGCAAACAGG
rnacentral:rRNA from 1 species